rnacentral:rRNA from 1 species
GGGAGGCAGCAGUCGGGAAUCUUGCACAAUGGGCGAAAGCCUGAUGCAGCAACGCCGUGUGAGCGACGAAGGCCCUAGGGUCGUAAAGCUCUGUUGUUAGGGACGAAGGGCGAAGGGUUAAUAGCCCUUAGCCUGACGGUACCUUUCGAGGAAGCCUCGGCUAACUACGUGCCAGCAGCCGCGGUAAUAACGUAGGGGGCGAGCGUUGUCCGGAAUUAUUGGGCGUAAAGGGCGCGUAGGCGGCCUGGUAAGUCUGCUGUGAAACCUUGGGGCUCAACCCCAAGCGUGCAGUGGAUACUGUCAGGCUAGAGGAUGGUAGAG